CCAUUUCCAGAAGAUCUGCUCCACAUCUUCUCCAUACUAAGACUCUGACAGCCGUACAUUGCAACACAUCUCUCACCACAAGAAGCACUAUUUCAUUCCAGAAACAUUCCAUCCCGCACUAAAGGAUGGCACUGAGAAACUUCACUGACUGUCCAUCUAAAUUUCUCUUCUUAUUCCACUGUUUUACAUGAUGGUUUUGGUCUCCUUAAUGCCAUCUCACAGAUUUAGACAAGAAUUCUUUUACUCACUAAGAAGUCAAAUAAGGGGCUAAUUUUUUGCAGGCAGUGCAAAAACAUACACUGGAAACAUACACUGCACCAGAUAUUCCUAUCAAAAGCAGAUAAACAUGAAUAGAUCCUAGAUCAAACAAGGGAUUCAGGGUACUUGCGGUUCAGUUGUUUUGGUUUAACUAUCAGCUUGUCUACAGGAACAAAUCAGCUGUGAAUACUAAAAGUUCUUAGCAGAGACUUUUUUUCUGGGCCUGUGCAAUGCUCUAAAUUUAUUUUUGUCCCUUACCACAAUAUUUCCUGUAAGUUGACCAGACUGUAUCACAGAAACUCCAGGCAGAAAAUUGAUGAACAUCAAAAAUCCAUGGCUAAAGCCUCUCCCUCAGCUCUGGAGCCACCACACAUGCUGUUGAUACAGCCUUUUGUAAGGAAGGGGCAUGGUACCACCACAGUGAUGUUUCCAUAACCAAGGUGCAGAUGUGAGAUGAAUGGCCAGGAUGAAUCCCAAGAUGAAGGAGUGCCUCAAGAGUAAAGUAAACUGCAAAUCACCAGGAAAAGAAAGAAAAAAUACCCAGUACUAAAAAUAUUGCAAGUGCCUGAGGCGUAAGUCAGAGCAAGCCUCCAUUAUCACUGCAGAGACUUGGCAACUUUGCUCAUUAGGCUUCCUAGGAUCUGACUGAGUGACCUUGUUUGGUGGGAAGGCACAGAUGGAGUCUGUCAGUAAAUCUUGUUCAUGUAGCAAGUAUUCCUGCUGCUAGAUGAGGUUUGCACCUCGUACGAGUGUUUCUAGCCCCAGUAAACAACCACUGUUCCCUCCUCCCACUGUCAGCCCCUUAUUUCAUGCCACCAGGUACUCUAGCACUUCUUUUUACUGUCAAUUACCAAAAAGAAAGAGAACAUCUCGCUGUGAGUGUAGGAUGAUCUUUCUCUCAAAGGCAGUCGUGCACCUCACUUCUAGAGAAGCUGAUGUUUGCUUUUACAUUUGGUUGUUACCUGAUAGACCCUAAGGCUUUCUUCUGCUGUGAGUCUGUUCCUGAGCUUGAGAAAUAAUUCUAUGAUAGGAGUGCAGUUUUUUACUAAAGUCAUACUCACACCGUUGUACUAUACAAUAUAAAUAACUAAUAUAUAAGUAAUAAAUAAAAGGUUUAUCUAUGAGCCAAUUUUAAGUGGUUUAAAAUUUCAGGAUGUAGCCUAUUUAGUUUCAGUGAGAAAAUAAAAAGCUGCUUUUAAAGUUCAUUCAGCUUCUAAAGGGCAAUGCUAAAAAUGUGACACCACCUUGGUUCAGUGAAUGCCUUUGGGUAAAAGAAGAGGGAUACAAGAGUAACUGAAAUAUUUAAGUAAAAUUCAGUGUUGUGACCCUGAACACCAGGACAAAAUUCACAUUGUAUAAGCCAUAUUUCUAAGUGCAAUAAACCAUAUCUAUAAGUGA